GGAAUUGACGGGGCCCGCACAAGCGGUGGAGCAUGUGGUUAAUUCGACGCAACGCGAAGAACCUUACCAGGGCUUGACAUCCCCUGACCGCGUAUGAAAGUACGUUUUCACCCUCGGGUGACAGGGAGACAGGUGGUGCAUGGUUGUCGUCAGCUCGUGUCGUGAGAUGUUGGGUUAAGUCCCGCAACGAGCGCAACCCCUACGUUUAGUUGCUAACAGGUGAAGCUGAGCACUCUAGACGAACUGCCGUUGACAAAACGGAGGAAGGUGGGAUGACGUCAAAUCAUCAUGCCCCUUAUGUUCUGGGCUACACACGUGCUACAAUGGCCGGUACAGACGGAGGCGAAGCCGCGAGGCGGAGCAAAUCCGAAAAAGCAGGCCUCAGUUCAGAUUGCAGUCUGCAACUCGACUGCAUGAAGCCGGAGUUGCUAGUAACCGCAGGUCAGCAAUACUGCGGUGAAUACGUUCCCGGGUCUU
rnacentral:rRNA from 1 species